rnacentral:lncRNA from 1 species
GGGUUCCGCCGCGGGGCUGCGAGCGCGCGCGGGCCAGUUCGGGCCGGGGGCGGGAACCGGCUCGGAUGCUCAGGGACGGUGGGGGUGGCAGGGCCCACCGGCUUGAGGCUGCCUUUCCCGGCGUUCCCUCGUUUAUUGGCUCACUCUUCCUUUCAUCCAUCCAUCCUUUGCGCAACAAUAUUUGAUGGGAAGCCUGCCAAGUUUUCAGAUUACUCCAUUUGAUUCUCACAAGAACAUCGUAAAUGGAAAAGACUAGAAUUGCCCUGAGUUCACAGAUUGGUCAUCGAGGUCAAAGAAAUCAAGUGACUUCUGGAGGCCACACAGCUAAUAAACAGCAAGGCAAUGACUUGAACCCAGGUCUUCUGGUUCCAGAGGCAGGGAGAAAGACACAUGGGCAGGAGAAUACCACAUGGAGACACAGACACACGAGGGGAGGAUGCCUGCUGACCAUGGAGGCAGAAGUGGGACUGACGCAUCGAUCAGCUGAGGGAUGCCAAGCACUGCCAGCAAACACCAGAGGCUUGAUGGGGGCGAGUAUUCUCCUGUGCAGGUAUCAGAGGGAGCCUGGCCUUGCAGAUACCUUGAUUCCUGACUUCUGGCCUCUAAAAUGUCCAAUGUGAGUCAGGCAUCUCUCCUGGUGGCUGUCUUCCAUGUGGUGACUUAUGUAUCCAGGAUCCUUCUACUGUGUUUCUCCUCCAUUGCGAAGUCCUUCACUUCCAGCACCUGAGACAUUUUUUGGGUAUAUCUACAAGUGGCAUAUAUCACUUCUGCCCACAUUCACCUGGGUAGAACUCAAUCACAUUGUUUCACCUAACUGCAAGUGAGGCUGUGGAAUAUAGUCUCCCUAUGUGCCCAAGCAGAAGAAACAGGAUUGGUGAGCAUCUAGCCCAUCUCUACCACUAACAGUUUAUCCCCCCUAAUAAAUCAAUACACUGAUGAUCUA